AGUGGAAUGUUUAAUACUCCACAGAAAAAAAAAAAAAGAACCAUGGAAUUCUGAGUCCCACCUGUUAAAUUAUUUGUCCUUCUAAUAGAAGCAGGAAUGAAAGGCGUAUGUUCAACAUCAUUUUGGACCCAUUUUCUGUGGCGGGAAACCAAGGUCCUGCACUAGGCAUUGCAGAUAUGAAGAUGAACUGGAUACAGAGCCCGAUUUCAGGGAGUCACAAGAGUGUGUGCUUAGUGCUGUGAGAGAGAACUUCCCCCUAGACAAAGGACAUCUAGACCAGCCUGGAGGGAGCAGACCCUGUUAAUAUCUCUGAGCUCAUUGCUUUUCUGGAAGAACAUGUUCCGAGUUCCAAUUUGGGAUGAUUCAAAACCUACGUCUGCCCCAGGCUUGAGGUGGGCCUUCAUUGGAAACACCUUCUGCUCCGCCAGCUCAGUUCUCAUGAAAACAAACAAUGGUGCCCUUUGCCCAAGUCGGAAGAGGAGGCUGUGAAAUCGCCAUGAGCUUCCCGUGCAGGCCACAGCUUCAAUCAGGUCCUUCUGCUGGGGCGCCUGGGAUGGGUCACACCCUUUGCCUCCUCUCUCUGGAUGGCAUUUCUAAGUCACACCAGGGGCUCUGGGCAUUGAGGCUUGGGAUACCCAUCUCCUGAGCCCUUCUUCCUGGGAAGAUGCCAGGGGCCAAAGCCAGGUGGACGCCAGCUCAGCCUCUACACUCUCAGUCCCAACUGGGUGUGAUCACUGCAGAGCUCCUCUGGGGUGGAGGUGCUAGACGCUGCCUACAUUUCUUGGUUUGUGGCCCCAUGUCACUCCACCAUCUGCCGCCGUCAUCACAUCUCCUUCUAUGACUCUGGCCCUCUGCCUGUCUCCCACUUACAAGGACCCUUGUGAUUGCGUUGGGCCCACCCAGAUAAUCUGAGGUAAUUUUUCCAUCUUAACAUCCUUGACUUAACGAUAUCUGUGAAGUGAAGUCCCGUUCGCUAUUUUAGAGACAUUAUUCUGCCGACCACAUGAUUGAUAUUUGAAACGUUGAUAUAGUAUUAGUUGCACAUGUCUGUAAGUCUGUUCUGCUAUGUGUUUCUUUCAGUAGGAAAAAUGGUAUCAGUAUAAUGGUGAUUUUUAACUCACCAUUUUAAGAUUUUAAAAUGAGGAGGGGCAAGCUUGUUCUCAAGUGUAGAGGAAGCCUUUGCUAUAUAUGAAGACCUUAAGAAAAGAGCUGAAAAUCCUGCAUAAGGCUUCACUUUAGAGUAAGAAGUGACUCAUAUGAUGGCUUUAAGUACUAGAACACUUUCUUGUUCUAAGUUCUUUGAGGGAAAUUGCAAGUGCAAAUAAAGAAGCCGUGAAUACCU